rnacentral:rRNA from 1 species
GACAGAGGGUGCAAACGUUGUUCGGAAUUACUGGGCGUAAAGCGUGUGUAGGCGGCCAUGUAAGUCGGAUGUGAAAGCCCCGGGCUCAACCCGGGAAGUGCACUCGAUACUGCGUGGCUUGAGUAUCGGAGAGGUUGGUGGAAUUCUCGGUGUAGAGGUGAAAUUCGUAGAUAUCGAGAGGAACACCGGUGGCGAAGGCGGCCAACUGGACGAAUACUGACGCUGAGGCACGAAAGCGUGGGGAGCAAACAGG